UACGUAGGGCGCAAGCGUUGUCCGGAAUUAUUGGGCGUAAAGAGCUCGUAGGCGGUCUGUCGCGUCUGUUGUGAAAACUCGAGGCUCAACCUCGGGCUUGCAGUGGAUACGGGCAGACUAGAGUGCGGUAGGGGAGACUGGAAUUCCUGGUGUAGCGGUGGAAUGCGCAGAGUAUCAGGAGGAACACCGAUGGCGAAGGCAGGUCUCUGGGCCGCAACUGACGCUGAGGAGCGAAAGCAUGGGGAGCGAACAGG
rnacentral:rRNA from 1 species